AUUGAACGCUGGCGGCAUGCCUUACACAUGCAAGUCGAACGGUAACGCGGGGCAACCUGGCGACGAGUGGCGAACGGGUGAGUAAUGUAUCGGAACGUGCCCAGUUGUGGGGGAUAACUGCUCGAAAGAGCAGCUAAUACCGCAUACGACCUGAGGGUGAAAGCGGGGGAUCGCAAGACCUCGCGCAAUUGGAGCGGCCGAUAUCAGAUUAGGUAGUUGGUGGGGUAAAGGCCCACUAAGCCGACGAUCUGUAGCUGGUCUUAGAGGACGACCAGCCACACUGGGACUGAGACACGGCCCAGACUCCUCCGGGAGGCAGCAGUGGGGAAUUGUUCGCAAUGGGCGCAAGCCUGACGACGCAACGCCGCGUGGAGGAUGAAGGUCUUCGGAUUGUAAACUCCUGUUGAUCGGGACGAAAAGCUUCGACCUAACACGUCGAGGACUGACGGUACCGGUUGAGGAAGCCACGGCUAACUCUGUGCCAGCCGCCACGGUAACAC
rnacentral:rRNA from 1 species